CACGUAGGGCGCAAGCGUUGUCCGGAAUUAUUGGGCGUAAAGAGCUCGUAGGCGGUCUGUUGCGUCCGCUGUGAAAACUCGGGGCUUAACCCCGAGCCUGCAGUGGAUACGGGCAGACUAGAGGUAGGUAGGGGAGAAUGGAAUUCCCGGUGUAGCGGUGAAAUGCGCAGAUAUCAGGAGGAACACCGAUUGCGAAGGCAGCUCGCUGGAACGUUACUGACGCUGAGACGCGAAAGCGUGGGGAGCAAACAGG
rnacentral:rRNA from 1 species